AGGACGAACGCUGGCGGCGUGCUUAACACAUGCAAGUCGAGCGGUAAGGCUCCUUCGGGAGUACACGAGCGGCGAACGGGUGAGUAACACGUGAGCAAUCUGCCCUUCACUUUGGGAUAACUCCGGGAAACCGGUGCUAAUACCGAAUACGACCACUUCAGGCAUCUGAUGGUGGUGGAAAGUUCAGGCGGUGGAGGAUGAGCUCGCGGCCUAUCAGCUUGUUGGUGAGGUAAUGGCUCACCAAGGCAACGACGGGUAGCCGGCCUGAGGAGGGUGACCGGCCGACACGUGGGACUGGACGACACGGCCCAGACCUCCGUACGGGAGGCAGGCAGGUGGGGAAUAGUUGGACAAGUGGGACGAAAGCCUGACUCCAGCGAACGCCGCGUGAGGAUGACGGCCGUU
rnacentral:rRNA from 1 species